AAGACCAUAGUCAAUAGCCUAUGACAUAUGAGUUGCAUUCAUAAAGAGUUUUAAACUGGUUUUA
rnacentral:tRNA from 1 species